CCUUGUGCCUUUAGAGAAGAGGAACUACCCAGUUAACCAUUCCGAACCUGGAAGUCAAGCUCUUCAUCGCUGAUAAUACUGCUCUUUUCAGAGUGGGAAUGUAGGUCGGUGCAGGGA
rnacentral:rRNA from 1 species